CACUGGCCCUGACCCUUGUCCCUGGUGCCGCCCCCAUUCCCAUCUCAUUUGCUGCCUGCACACUGGAGCCACGGGAGCUGGGGAAGGAUGGGUUCAUGGCAACCUGAGUCCACAGGGCUAGGACCAAUGGGCCGAAACCAGGGGUGUGGCCAGGAGCCUGAGGGAAGGUGUUUGACUUUGUGGAGGUCAGGGCCCUGGGACUCCUGAGGGGCAGGCGAAUGGAGGUCUGGGACAGCGGGAGGAGGCCCGAGGGAGCAGGAACACCACGGAGGGCAGCGCUCCCCACACAAGGGAGAACAGCUUGAAAACCCCUCAGUCUGGGGCCUGGCCUCCGAGGUCCAAGCCUGUGGGGCAGCUCAGGCCUCUGAGGGAGGACACUUUGCCAAGAGGAGUUUUCUCCUGUCCCUGCUUAGCAACUGCCGUCCACAGGCUUCACUAACUGCUACUGGCCCUUCAAGUCUCAGCUAAGAUGUCACCUUGCCUGUGAAGGCCCCUGGUCAUGCUCGUCGCACAUCUGGUCUGACAGCAGCGGGAACCAGUACACGUCUGGGCAUGGCUGAGGACGGGGCAGUGGAAGAACAGGGCUGAGGCUCUUACAGGAGGCCAUGUCCGGGUCAGUGUCGCUGCCUGAGAACAGCUCCCUCUGGGGCAGCUCCUCCCGCAGGGUCUCCCCUCGGAUCAGGUAUGCCUGGGAUAUGUAGGGCACGUUCCACACACUCCUGGAGGCACCAACGCCAGGGUCAGUGAGGUGGGCUGCCCCCAGUUUCUGCCCCGUUCCUCCCAGGAAGUCCUUCCCUCCAGAUAUCACAGUCCCUGAGCCUCAAGGUCCCCUCACAUCCCGUCAGGCAUGACUGGUCACGACCACCCCAAGCCGUGUGACAUCUGAGCGCUCCACGUAGUCCUCGAAGCACGUGUAGUCCUCAUCCCGGCUCAGCGCUGCCCAGAAGUUGGACUAGAGCUUGCCAUGGCGGGACAGCAUGGGCGCUCUCACCUUCCUUCGGACAGUGUGAAAUUCCUCAUCCAGUCACCACGCCUUCCAUCUGCGGGCAAAGACAGAGGGCGCCAGAAUCCCUGGAGCAGGAGUCCUGAGAGCAGAGGAGGAAGCUGAAGUUCUGGGGGAGAGCCUGGGAAGAUUUCUGGCCAGAGAGGGCAGCGCUUGGGGCCUGAUAGGGUUGCAGAUCACCUGGCAGAAUGCUGUGUGGUGGGGUGAGUGUGGGGGGUACAUCAGGAUCUGGAGCCUGGAUAUCUCCAGGCUCCUCAGACUGGUCUUUGAACUUCCUCAGUUAGUAAAUAUGUCUGGGCUGGCCAUGGGUGGGACUGGGAGGGGGUGAAGGAAUGUUCCUAGGGAUACUCCAGGGCGGUGAACAAAACCCAGGUUGCCAGCCUAUCCAUGGGGUUGCAGGCUCUGGUGGGGCCAGUAGUUCAGCUCAGACUGUUGCAUCUGCCAUGUGUCCAGUGUAGGCCCAACUGGUUUGCAUGUCUCCGGGAGUGACAAAUCCACCAGGGAGCUACAGUCUAGGCUGUGUGUCCCCUGGCCUCCCACUGCACCCUGGCCGCCUCUGCCCUGCACAAACCCAGGAACACCUCUGGUUGGUUUCCCUCAUUUAAUUUCACUCCCCGACCCAAAACCACAGAGGGGCCAGGGUGGGACGCAGCGGCGGCGGUGAGCUCAUGUCUGUCCCUGUACUGGGCCUUGUAUUCCUUGAACAGCCGUGUGAUCCACUCCAAGGAGAGCGAGUGCAGCGCGUCCACCUAGGCCUGGCUGGGCUGCGGGCUUCGCUGCACCGGAAUUGGGGCCCCCACUGUGGGCGGAAUGUGGCCGGGUCUGGCCUCUGGCCUCUGCUGUGCGCCCGCAGCCGUCAAUGGGGACAGAGUUCAAGGGGCGUUGCAGGGCAGGACCCGUGGUGUGCCAGGAUGGCAGAUGGCGUGGACGGGUGGGCAGAAGGGCAACGGCAGCUCCCGGAGGCCAUGGAACAGAGGCAGCGCCAUGCUUAGCGGUAGCUGCUGCACUUCUUGCGCCCUUGGCAACCGGGAGCCCAGGUGGGGUCCGGAACUACUGAAAUAGCUUGUUCUCUCUGGAGGAGAAGACAGGCAGCAGGGAGGCCCUGUGGGAGCAGGCAUGGUUGCCUCCUGGCCAGGGGCGCCACACUCCUCCUCCGCCCUGCCAGUACCUCACCCCUGUUCCAGUGCCAGCUGCAUGAACCCCUUCUGAUUCCAGAUCCGCAAGCUCAGCACUCCAGGCUUUGUCUCCAGUGCCUCCAGGGGCCCUCCCAUGGACAGGAUGGCCACCUGGCUGCCCCCAGGCAGGAACACCCGAUAGGCAGCACUGGACUUGUCAGAGGAGACCAAACCUGGGGAGAGGGCAGGGGCUGGGGGACACAAUGCCCGGGUCUUCCAGAGAAGAUAGGGAUGGGAGGAGGACACUGGUAAGUUAGAGCUGGGCCCAGGAGCCCCCAGACAAGCGGAGGGUGUGGCUGUGGCAGGAGGGGACAGCAGGGGCGACCCACUCCUGCACUUGACAUGAUAUAGUCCAAGAAGAGAGGAAGGUGGGCCAACAGGGCAGCAUGAGCAGGAGCGGCCGCACACCCUGGAAGAGGCGGGAGAAGCCUGUGGCUUCUGUGCAGAAGUUGCUGAAGGCCCCAAGCACAGGACCCCGUGAGGGUGGAGGCUGAAGAGGUAGUUCUGGGAGGGAUCCAGCUCUGCGAUUUCGACCAGCUGGGGAGCAGAGUGCAGGCACCCCAACCCACCCGUGACAUUGAUGAGGAGCCCGAGUCUAUUCUGAAGCCCCAGCGCACAGGGGUGCCCUGUGCCCGACCCCCUCAUCGAGAUGGAGAAGCAGUCACAGAAAUGUCUGCACACCGCCCAGCUGCUGACCCAGGCAGAGUGGUGGCCUCCAGCCCUGGUGUUGGUCCUGUCUCAGAACCAGACCCAGUAGGGGACCACCAAGGUUAAAGCCAAACUUAGGAAUGCAAGGAGCAAGGCUGCCAGGACACCUGGGCUGGAAGAAGGGCGUGGGACUGAGAACCCAGGUGUUUAAGCCCGAGCCUCCCCUCACUCCCACCUUCCCUAGUUCCAUGGCAUGUGGCUCCUUCCAUCCCACCUGCUCCCCAGAUUUCAGAAGCAGAGGGCCAGGUGUUGGGGCCCACCCGGAUCCUCAGGAUUGGGGACUCACCAAGCCCCCAAAAGGAGAAGGCACGUUGCAGCACAGCGAGCACUGGCAGAGCCCAGUGGAGGAGGCUGGUGGAGGCAAUGAUACUGUGUGUGAUAGUCACACAGGGGCCACCUUCAGCUUUUAUGUAACCCCUCUUUUGGCCCACCCCACUGGCCCUGACCCUUGGCCCUGGCGCCGUCCCCAUUCCCACCACCUUUGCUGCCUGCACACUGGAGCCACGGGAGCUGGGGAAGGAUGGGUUCAUGGCAACCUGAGUCCACAGGGCUAGAACCAAUGGGCCCAAACCAGGGGUGUGGCCAGGAGCCUGAGGGAAGGUGUUUGACUUUGUGGAGGUCAGGGCCCUGGGACUCCUGAGGGGCAGGCGAAUGGAGGUCUGGGACAGUGGGGGGAGGCCCGAGGGAGCGGGAACACCACGAAGGGCAGCGCUCCCCACACAAGGGAGAACAGCUUGAAAACCCCUCAGUCUGGGGCCUGGCCUCCGAGGUCCAAGCCUGUGGGGCAGCUCAGGCCUCUGAGGGAGGACACUUUGCCAAGAGGAGUUUUCUCCUGUCCCUGCUUAGCAACUGCCGUCCACAGGGUAGGUGACAAAGGCGGUGGGGGAUGGAUUUCAGUCUGGCCAGAAAGACGCUGCAUCCACUCGGACAGGCAGCCCAGCCAGGCACAGGGCGGGCUUCCCAGAGGAGGCUGGCCCUUGAGGCUGGGCGGCAGGGAGGGAGAAGGGGACUCUAGCAGUGGAUGGCGAGAUGCCUGGGAACAGCUGAGAGAUAAAUUCAGUGGUCAGUGCGAGGCUGGAGGAGACCAAGGCAGGGCGACAAGACUUAGUACCUCACAAGAUCUGCUCUAAGGAGCUCUGUCCUUUUCUUCUCCAGGCCACUUGUCACUCCCACCAUCUAGGAAGCUUCCUGAGGAUGACACCAGUCAUGGGACUACUUUCCGGAGCCUGCCCCACUAGCAGCUUAGGUGGCAGAUAGGCACCCUCUUUAGAAUACUUGCUUCCAGGGGUACUUCCUUCUUCUAGCCUGUCCCUGAACCCCAGCCCAGGCAUGUGCCACCUCCCCCUUCACCCAGGGAAGAUUACAGCUAUCAAGGGAGAAAGGACCAGUGAGAAGCCUUCAGGGUGGGCAGCGGGUGGAGUUUCAUCAGAGCUGGCCUGAGAAGGUCUGGCCUCCUCCUGUUCCCCCAGCUGGGGGAAGGAAGGGGAGGGAAACUUCUAGGUUUCCCGAUGUGGGAACUUCCUGCUCCUCACUUUUCCUCUUCUCUCCCCUUUUCAGGGUCCCCUACUUUGGCUGGCAGGAGGGGAGAUGAGUUGUCCUGCAGGGGCGGAGCAUGUCAGACAUGUGUCCCUUCACUCCCAGCCCAGGCAGUGUUGGGUGGAGGGUGAGGGACCUGCAAGCUCCAAGUGAGGCUUGACUCACAAGGGGGUUGUCGAAGAUCUGCCAGAGGUCAGGGUGCAGGUGGUCUGUGUCAUACCGGGAGGUGGCCAGGAACCAGCCGAAUUCCUGUGGAUUGCUGAGGCUCUACAGGAGGCCAUGUCCGGGUCAGAGUCACUGCCUGAGAACACCUCCCUCUGGGGCAGCUCCUCCCGCAGGGUCUCCCCUCGGAUCACGUACGCCUGGGACAUGUAGGGCACGUUCCACACGCUCCUGGAGGCACCAACGCCAGGUCAGUGAGGUGGGCUGUCCCCAGUUUCUGCCCAGUUCCUCCCAGGAAGUCCUUCCUUCAAGACAUCAUAGUCCCUGAGCCUCAAGGCCCCCUCACGUCCCGUCAGGCAUGACUGGUCACGACCACCCCAAGGCGUGGGACAUCUGACCGGUGAGUGGCCUGGAUAUUGUGAGCAAGGGGUUUCGGGCUGCGUAGGUCCCAGCUCAGCAGGGGUGGGUGAGGGGUGGCUGCCGGCCGGGCAGGACUCACACUCGCUUCCGCUGCACCAGCUCCACGUAGUCCUAGGAGCGUGCCUAGUCCUCAUCCCGGCUCAGCGCUGCCCAGAAGUUGGACCAGAGCUUGCCAUGGCGGGACAGCAUGGGCGCUAUCACCUUCCUAUGGACACGUGGGCGUGAGGGCCGGGCAGAGGGGAGCACGCCUCAGAGAGUCCCAGGCCCAGGAAGGAGUGGGGCUCCGGGGACUACGGGGGCACCCUGGCUGAGGAGGACAAGCCACUGUUCUCCUUUUGAGGCUACACAGGGUUGCAGGUUGGUGAGGACGACGUCAGCAUCCAGGCUGAAGUAGAACUCACACUCGGGGUCUUGCUGACAGGGGACAGGUGGGGACAGAGCAGCAAGGGGAGCGGGAGCCUCUCCCAGUUCCUCUGCUGUGGGGUCUGGGGAGGGCCAGCUUCUCAGAAGGGUUGCAGGUGUCUCGUGGUUGGGGAGGGGAGGGCAGGGGGCCACUGGGAGCACCUUAAUGGGACCGCUUCCAUGGACCACAGCAGGGAGGGUGUCGUAGGUCACAUUCGGGAUUCACACAGGAUCCGAUCAAAUUUUAAAACUACUUCAUCUGGGGAAGGAAGGCCAGGCUUUAGACUGCCUUUCUCUGGGAGCUGCCAAGCAAUAGGUUCUUCCAAAUACAGGGUCUCGAUUUCUCCAGGGGAUAAAAGGACGCCUGUGUCAUCAGAACUGGGGCUCUGUGGUGGCAGGAGCCCUCAGCUUCUGACCAGGCUGCUACCCUGGAGAGCUCCACCACCUGCUCCUAACUCCUCUAUGUGGUAACAGAGGCAAGGACUGGAGUGAGGCGUCAGCCAGGCUCGGCCCCAGGGACAGGCUGACUGCCACCCUGAGGGAUUUACUUCCAAGUUGGAAACCUGAUGACAGCAGCUGCCAGGCAGUGGCUGGGUGACCAGCACUUGGUCCCUGCCGCCCCCCUCAGAAGGCCUGCCUGAGAAUCCAGUGUGGCAUCUCAGCCCCCAUCUCAGCCCUGGUGUUGACACUGCGGCCUGAGGCCAGGGGAGACUGGUGGAAGGCUGGCUUCCUGGAGAGGAUGGCAUUCUCAGAAGAAGCCUGACAGUGUGGGGACAGGCCACAGACAACCCUGUCACAGUGCACAGAAAGGAUGCCAAGCUGGCAUGACCAACAGGGAAGUAGAGCUCAUCCAUGGAAGUGCACCUUGGUGGGAGGUGGCCUGGGGGAGCCAUUCCUGUGAUCCCUGGGUGUCAUUCCCAACGCCCUCUGCCCAGGUCAGUCUUUCCACCCUCAGCAGUCACAGAGCCCAUUUUCCCGGCCACAUCACAUUCCCGCUUCCCACACUGGGGACAGAGACUGAUCUUCACCUGUCUGCUGCCUGCCCUGGCCUCUACCCACACCUCAGUGCUCUUUCUACUUCAAGGAUGACUCCUCCUUCUCUUUCUUACUCUCUCAACUCUGACCAUACCUGGCCCUUUCCUCAUAAACUUACCUAACAGGAUUCCGAGAGACCAGAGCAGUUUUGACCUAUUUUGAGCAUUUUUCUGCCUCCUGGGCCAAGCUGGGUUCCUCCAGGGAAUAAUCUGCCUUCUAGUGCCCUCUCCCACCUUAGGCCAAGCCCUCCCCACACUCCUCACCCAUCACUUGGGUUUCACACAGAGGCCUGAUGGGGGAUGAAACCCCAACCAGCCUCCCCCAGUCCCAUGCCAAGGCCCCAUUACUCAGGGAGAAGAGGAGGGACAGGGCGCUGAAGGAAGGUCCCCAGGAUCUAAUCCCCACAGCCCCCAGCCCUGGUGUCCAGUUCUCACUUGAAGUUGGUGCCCGUGCCCCUUAGGGAAAGAACCCAGAGUAAAACACUGGAGAUGCCAACACUGAAGUUUGCACCAAGCGGAGGUACGGAGGUGCAAUAAAUAGGCCUUGCGUCUCAAAGGCGGCCAGAGCAGAUCACAUGCAACACAUUGAAGGCAAAUGGUUGAGAAGUGACUCUCGAGCCCUCACCCAUCACAAGGAUCAGAGUUUGGAGAUGGAGGAAAGAUGAUGUGGGGAAAGGCUUUCAGAGUGCUGUCAGCACCACCCGCAAAGAGCAAGUCUUCCUACAACAGGAUUAGUGAAAAGAGUUUGGUACAUCCCCGGUGUUUGGGGAAGGUGCCCACCAGAGAAAUCUAGCAGCCGAAUGUGGCUGUCUGGAUGCCCUCACGGCAGGAGAGAAGGAAGGACAAGUGCCACAGUGGGACCUGAACUCCAAGAGCACCCAGGCCACGAUGCUCAUGGCUGGAGCUGGGUUUUCCAUCCCUCCCACACUAAAAUAAUGGGAUUCCUGCAGAGCAGACCCGUGUGGAGAGCAUGAACAGAAGCCCAAGGCCAGAGGAUGAGGCGGAGAAAGCUCAGCAGCUGCCAAAAGGGCCUAACAGGGAAACCUGUGAGGGAUCUGUGAAUGUCUCCAGGAAGAAGAGAGAUCAACUUUGGUAAUCCGAAGGCCCAGAGAACACCAUGUUCCUGUGACAGCCGUGUCAAUCUAGAGGUUUCUGGCACUCUUCCCCCAUCUCUGCCCUACACUCUAAGUCAGGGCUGGUAACAGCAGCUAUUAUGGGAGGAGUAGGGAAGAGGUCAGUCCUACCUUUCACACUCUACCUUCCCCAACCACCACUCCUGCGCCAAGUAGGUAGCCUGGCCUUACCAGCAAAGAGAAAAUUCCUACCCUUGGAUAAAGACUGUAGCGUUGAUUACCACAGGAACUAAACAUGCUAUGCACCAAGUUAAUGUAGAACUUAUUAUCUGAGGUUAGUCAUGGGAGUGCCCAGGUUUUCAUGCAAGGACAAGGAAAAAUUCUUCCACUGAAUAUAUUUUUUUCUUUCUUUC